rnacentral:rRNA from 1 species
CGUCUAUAUACGUAUAGCAUAUCAAUAAGCGGAGGAAAAGAAACUAACAUAGGAUUCCCCUCAGUAACGGCGAGUGAAGCGGGAAGAGCUCAAAUUUGAAAUCUUCAAGGGUUCUACCUUUACGAAUUGUAGUUUAAAGAAGUGUUUUCUGUUGGAGUUUCGGUAAAAGUUCUUUGGAAUAGGACAUCAUAGAGGGUGAGAAUCCCGUAUUUGACCAGUUACUUUCCAGCUGUGUGAUACACUUUCAAAGAGUCGGAUUGUUUGGGAAUGCAGUCCAAAAUGGGUGGUAAAUUUCAUCUAAAGCUAAAUAUUGGCGAGAGACCGAUAGCGAACAAGUACCGUGAGGGAAAGAUGAAAAGAACUUUGAAAAGAGAGUUAAACAGUACGUGAAAUUGUCAAAAGGGAAGCGUUUGACACCAGUGUUGUUUUCUCGAAAAUCAAUUAAAAAUGGCAGGAUUUUGUGUUGUAUUGACUUUAUCAGCUUUCUGCACUUUUUUCCUUAUCUUUUUUAAUGCACUUUUCGUUUAACAAGUCAACAUCAAUUUCUUUUGCUGUAAAAGAGUCAUUGGAAGGUGGCUUUCUUUUCGGAGAAAGUGUUUAUAGCCUUUGACUUCUGCAGUCGGAGAGAUUGAGGUCUGCAGCGUAGAUCCUUCGGGGUUAGAUAGCAUUUGUGCUAAGUUAUAAGCCUUUCAUAGACAACUUGUUGACUAUGAUCAGUCAUGUAGCUUACUCGCUUAUGCUAUUUUACCUACGCUUAGGAUGUUGAUCUGUAGUGCGUGCGC